rnacentral:rRNA from 1 species
UACGUAGGGAGCAAGCGUUGUCCGGAAUCAUUGGGCGUAAAGCGCGCGUAGGUGGCCUCAUAAGUCCGCUGUGAAAGUCAAAGGCUCAACCUUUGAAAGCCGGUGGAUACUGUGAGGCUAGAGUACGGAAGAGGCGAGUGGAAUUCCUGGUGUAGCGGUGGAAUGCGCAGAUAUCAGGAGGAACACCAAUAGCGAAGGCAGCUCGCUGGGACGUUACUGACACUGAGGCGCGAACGCGUGGGGAGCGAACAGG